UAUUCUGCCCUACGGGGAAGGAUGAGAAGCUUCGACUAAGGUUCGACUCGCGCGUAGCGAGAGAACGUGGCCGCCGGCAACGGCCCGAAGGGCGAGGCGCGGUAGCGCCGAGUCAUCCUUCCCCCACCACCA
rnacentral:sRNA from 1 species